rnacentral:rRNA from 1 species
GACGAACGCUGGCGGCGUGCUUAACACAUGCAAGUCGAACGGUAAGGCCCUUCGGGGUACACGAGUGGCGAACGGGUGAGUAACACGUGGGUGAUCUGCCCUGCACUUCGGGAUAAGCCUGGGAAACUGGGUCUAAUACCGGAUAGGACCACUGCCUGCAUGGGUGGUGGGGGAAAGCUUUUGCGGUGUGGGAUGGGCCCGCGGACUAUCAGCCUGUUGGUGGGGUGAUGGCCUACCAAGGCGACGACGGGUAGCCGGCCUGAGAGGGUGACCGGCCACACUGGGACUGAGAUACGGCCCAGACUCCUACGGGAGGCAGCAGUGGGGAAUAUUGCACAAUGGGCGCAAGCCUGAUGCAGCGACGCCGCGUGAGGGAUGACGGCCUUCGGGUUGUAAACCUCUUUCAGCACCGACGAAGCGCAAGUGACGGUAGGUGCAGAAGAAGGACCGGCCAACUACGUGCCAGCCGCCGCGGUAA